ACGUAGGGUGCGAGCGUUAAUCGGAAUUACUGGGCGUAAAGCGUGCGCAGGCGGUUCUGAAAGUCAGCUGUGAAAGCCCCGGGCUUAACCUGGGGAUUGCGGUUGAAACUACAGGGCUAGAAUCUGGCAGAGGGGGGUGGAAUUCCACGUGUAGCAGUGAAAUGCGUAGAGAUGUGGAGGAACACCGAUGGCGAAGGCAGCCCCCUGGGCUGAGAUUGACGCUCAGGCACGAAAGCGUGGGGAGCAAACAGGA
rnacentral:rRNA from 1 species